UAGGUCCGUUGGCCAACAAGUUUUGGUCCAAACAUUAGAACGCCGAACACACGUGAUUACUGGGGGGGGGGCCGUGAGGUAGAUUUUGUAACUUCAAUUUCAGUAUCGAAGAUUUAUUUUCAAAAUUUAAAGCGUUAGUUCAGUCAAUAUUUUUAUCCACUACGAGCGAUAACCCUUAAAUCCGAGAGAAUCCCUCACCAACGUCAAUCGGAAGAUGGCCAAUUCCUUUGGUGAUGCGCAGAGUAACAGAGCAGCUGUGCAAGCCACGAACGACGAUGCUUCCGCAAGUAAACUCUCCUGCGUCAAGAAGGGAUACAUGAAAGACGAUUACGUUCAUUUAUUUGUAAGAAGACCUGUGAGGAGAUCUCCAAUAAUUAACCGUGGCUAUUUUGCGCGUUGGGCUGCGCUUAGAAAGCUUCUUUAUCAGUUCCUUGACUGUGAAAGAAGCGUGAAGAAACAGAUUUUAUCACUUGGGGCUGGCUUUGAUACAACAUAUUUUCAGUUGCAGGAUGAGGGAAAAGCGCCCCAUUUAUAUGUAGAGCUGGAUUUCAAAGAGGUAACUAGUAAAAAGGCAGCACUUAUUGAAACCUUUAGUCAAUUGAGAGACAAAGUUGGUGCUGCCGCAUCAAUAUCACCAGAGAAAGGAGAAGUGUUAAGUGAUCAUUACAAGCUACUCCCCGUAGAUUUGCGUAAUAUACCAAAUUUAGAAGAUGUCAUAACUUUGGCUAACAUGGAUCUGAGCCUGCCGACAUUUAUAAUUGCAGAGUGCGUUUUAAUUUACUUGGAUCCUGAUUCAAGUCGUGCUGUUGUUGGUUGGGCUGCAAAAACCUUUUCAACAGCAGUGUUUUUCUUAUAUGAGCAGAUCCUCCCAGAUGAUGCUUUUGGGCAGCAAAUGAUUAGAAAUUUGGCGGGUCGUGGUUGUGCACUUCUUGGAAUUUUUGCUACACCAACAUUACUUGCAAAAGAGAAACUAUUUACUGACCAGGGAUGGCAGAGGGCUGUUGCCUGGGACAUGCUGAAAGUUUAUAGCAAUUUUGUUGAUGCUCAAGAGAGACGCAGGAUUGAACGGCUAGAAUUGUUUGAUGAAUUUGAGGAGUGGCACAUGAUGCAGAGUUGCCUAAAUGUCCUGCUUGGAACUUGGGAGGCUGGCUCAUUGUUCAUAUGGACUGUGGAAUAGUGGUUGCAUUUCCAUGCAAGCUCUUUUAAGGAGCACUACUGCAUUACUUAUGCAAUCAAUGAUACCUUGGGGUUGUUUGGGGAUUUUGGUUUUCCCAAUGACCAAGGCCUUGUGCUCAACUCCCCGUCGCCAGCAUGACAUGAAAGCGAAGCCUGGGGCUACUCUACGGCAUAACUGUAUUGCCAAGUUUGGUUAUACAUUUAAAGAUGGAGAAGCUCGUAUGACUGAUCCAUGCCAGUCUCCUUAGCAGCGGCUUGUCAGGUAGAAAAAGGUCACCCCUGCUACUAAUUAGUCUCUAACUAAAAGUCUCCAAAAGGAUUGAUGACUUGUGUGGAUGGUUUCAGUGUAUUGUUUGUUUUGACUCCAGAGGACAGAUCCUUUUCCCCCUUUUUUUUUUUGUUUUCUGCUAGCUGUUUGGCAAAGAAAACGUGGUGGGACCCGGCAGCACCUAAAGUGUAUCAUUCCUGGGCUUUGUGGGGUCUUCAUCAUGUGGAAAUAGAUGUUCAUUGUUGGUUGCUUUUCAAUGACUAUUUUCUCCUA